rnacentral:rRNA from 1 species
AUGAACGCUAGCUACAGGCUUAACACAUGCAAGUCGAGGGGCAGCAUGGUCUUAGCUUGCUAAGGCCGAUGGCGACCGGCGCACGGGUGAGUAACGCGUAUCCAACCUGCCUUACACUCUUGGACAGCCUUCUGAAAGGGAGAUUAAUACAAGAUGUUAUCAUGAGUAAGCAUUUUCGCAUGAUUAAAGGUUUACCGGUGUAAGAUGGGGAUGCGUUCCAUUAGAUAGUAGGCGGGGUAACGGCCCACCUAGUCUUCGAUGGAUAGGGGUUCUGAGAGGAAGGUCCCCCACAUUGGAACUGAGACACGGUCCAAACUCCUACGGGAGGCAGCAGUGAGGAAUAUUGGUCAAUGGACGAGAGUCUGAACCAGCCAAGUAGCGUGAAGGAUGAAGGUUCUAUGGAUUGUAAACUUCUUUUAUACGGGAAUAAACGGAUCCACGUGUGGAUUUUUGCAUGUACCGUAUGAAUAAGGAUCGGCUAACUCCGUGCCAGCAGCCGCGGUAAUACGGAGGAUCCGAGCGUUAUCCGGAUUUAUUGGGUUUAAAGGGAGCGUAGAUGGGUUGUUAAGUCAGUUGUGAAAGUUUGCGGCUCAACCGUAAAAUUGCAAUUGAUACUGGCAGUCUUGAGUACAGUUGAGGUAGGCGGAAUUCGUGGUGUAGCGGUGAAAUGCUUAGAUAUCACGAAGAACUCCGAUUGCGAAGGCAGCUUACUAACCUGUAACUGACAUUGAUGCUCGAAAGUGUGGGUAUCAAACAGGAUUAGAUACCCUGGUAGUCCACACGGUAAACGAUGAAUACUCGCUGUAGGCGAUAUACAGUCUGCGGCCAAGCGAAAGCAUUAAGUAUUCCACCUGGGGAGUACGCCGGCAACGGUGAAACUCAAAGGAAUUGACGGGGGCCCGCACAAGCGGAGGAACAUGUGGUUUAAUUCGAUGAUACGCGAGGAACCUUACCCGGGCUUAAAUUGCAACCGAAUAUGGCGGAAACGCUAUAGCUAGCAAUAGCGGUUGUGAAGGUGCUGCAUGGUUGUCGUCAGCUCGUGCCGUGAGGUGUCGGCUUAAGUGCCAUAACGAGCGCAACCCUUGCCGAUAGUUACUAACAGGUCAUGCUGAGGACUCUGUCGGGACUGCCAUCGUAAGAUGUGAGGAAGGUGGGGAUGACGUCAAAUCAGCACGGCCCUUACGUCCGGGGCUACACACGUGUUACAAUGGGGGGUACAGAGGGCUGCUACCACGCAAGUGGAUGCCAAUCCCAAAAACCUCUCUCAGUUCGGAUUGAAGUCUGCAACCCGACUUCAUGAAGCUGGAUUCGCUAGUAAUCGCGCAUCAGCCACGGCGCGGUGAAUACGUUCCCGGGCCUUGUACACACCGCCCGUCAAGCCAUGGGAGCCGGGGGUACCUGAAGUGCGUAACCGCAAGGAGCGCCCUAGGGUAAAACUGGUGACUGGGG